rnacentral:rRNA from 1 species
GAUGAACGCUAGCGGCAGGCCUAAUACAUGCAAGUCGAACGGAUGACCUUCGGGUCAUUAGUGGCGCACGGGUGCGUAACGCGUAAGCAACCUACCUACUACUGGGGGAUAGCCCUGGGAAACCGGGAGUAAACCCGCAUGGUAUCACUGACCUUCCUGGGUUGAUGAUUAAAGAUUUAUUGGUAGUAGAUGGGCUUGCGUUGGAUUAGCUAGAUGGCGGGGUAACGGCCCACCAUGGCGAUGAUCCAUAGGGGCUCUGAGAGGAGCGGCCCCCACACUGGCACUGAGACACGGGCCAGACUCCUACGGGAGGCAGCAGUAGGGAAUAUUGGGCAAUGGACGAAAGUCUGACCCAGCCAUGCCGCGUGCAGGAUGAAGGCGCUCAGCGUUGUAAACUGCUUUUGAUAGGGAAGAACGGCCUUCUUGCGAGAAGGUGUGACGGUACCUACAGAAUAAGCACCGGCUAACUCCGUGCCAGCCGCCGCCGUAACAC